rnacentral:rRNA from 1 species
UACGAAGGGGGCUAGCGUUUUUCGGAAUUACUGGGCGUAAAGGGCGCGUAGGCGGUGUGUCAAGUCAGGCGUGAAAGCCCCGGGCUCAACCUGGGAACCGCGCUUGAGACUGGCACGCUCGAGUUCGGGAGAGGAUGGUGGAAUUCCCAGUGUAGAGGUGAAAUUCGUAGAUAUUGGGAAGAACACCGAUGGCGAAGGCAGCCAUCUGGACCGACACUGACGCUGAGACGCGAAAGCGUGGGGAGCAAACAGG